rnacentral:rRNA from 1 species
GAUGAACGCUGGCGGCGUGCCUAAUACAUGCAAGUCGAGCGAACGGACGAGAAGCUUGCUUCUCUGAUGUUAGCGGCGGACGGGUGAGUAACACGUGGAUAACCUACCUAUAAGACUGGGAUAACUUCGGGAAACCUGAGCUAAUACCGGAUAUAUUUUGAACCGCAUGGUUUCAAAGUGAAACACGGUCUUGCUGUCACUUAUAUAUGGUUCCGCGCUGCAUUAGCUAGUUGGUUAGGUAACGGCUUACCAAGGCAACGAUGCAUAGCCGAUCUGAGAGGGUGAUCGGCCACACUGGAACUGAGACACGGUCCAGACUCCUACGGGAGGCAGCAGUAGGGAAUCUUCCGCAAUGGGCGAAAGCCUGACGGAGCAACGCCGCGUGAGUGAUGAAGGUCUUCGGAUCGUAAAACUCUGUUAUUAGGGAAGAACAUAUGUGUAAGUAACUGUGCACAUCUUGACGGUACCUAAUCAGAAAGCCACGGCUAACUACGUG